rnacentral:snoRNA from 1 species
ACGACAUGAUGGAGGCAUUUUCAGAUGAGGUCUUUUAAUCUUUCCCAUGCCUCAUGGAACUGCUCACUAUCCUGCUGUGAGAAGCUACUGAGAGCAUGCCUUAUUUG